AUACUUACCUGGCAGGGGAGAUACCAAGAUCACGCAGGUGGUUUUCCCAGGGCCUAUACUCAAGUCCUCCCUCAAUGCAAGAACAUUUUGUUCUAGUUACCUGGCAUUCUGUGAUGCUCACCUUGCCAA
rnacentral:snRNA from 1 species